UUAAUUGCUUGGACCCCGGUUUGACCUGUGUAUUUCUUCAUGUUACUUUCCUUCUGGGACACUAAUGCCCCUACAAUAUUCCACAUACAUCUAAAUGGGCAUGGUGUGGUAGCCACUACUGACAACAAAAAUAUCCCAAUACAAGUUCAUGAAAAAACAGCAGACUGCUUGAAUGGGAUAGGAAGUCACUUUCACUGGCUGUUUACGUGCCGACAGAACUGAAGUCCUCCUAUCAGCAAGUCCAGCACAGUGUAUGCAGAAACUAAUGCAUGCAUCUUCCUAUCCUGAUGAUUUAAGUCUUAACAGGCUGGAUUUGGCUCACAGGAGGUCUGUUGAGUAUCGAUGGCCUAGAGAGAUGCAAAGUGACAAAGUAAGUGUUUUCAUGCUUUACCAUGGUAAGUAGUCUAAGUAGUCCGGCCAUGAAGGGCAGCAGAUCUGAUAUUUUAUCUUUAUUUAUUUGUGGUUUGGUUGCUUCCUGUGUCUACUCAUUCCUUGUGGAGAUGUUUAAUUUAAUAAAUAAAUAUUUGCUUUGACUUCCUUGAUAUGAUUUGGGAAUUGAAGAUGUUACAGACUGCGGUGGGUUGGCACCCUGCCCGGGAUUGGUUCCUGCCUUGUGCCCU